rnacentral:ncRNA from 1 species
UAUAAAUCGAUGAUCAGGAAUAGUAAUGGGUAUGCCAUUUAUAGAGAACUCAUGGCUGGUGGAAAUGAGUAAUGGAUAACUGUGAACUCACCUGUAAGAUGCUUAGGUGAUAAGCUUAAGUCGUUUACUCGCGUUAAGAGGCUAAGAGCAUGAAUUUUGUCUUCAUGAACUAAGGUGGUACCGCGCUAGUCGUCCUUAGA